AUUUGUUAGAAAUAAUAUAAAACCAUUGAUAUGGCUCUAUCCUAACACCUUAAGGUUUUGGGAUAAUCGGUUAUUUGACAUGGUAUCAGAGCCUCUAUGACUAAGUGGUCUAGAGUUCGAUCCCCGCUCNNNNNNNUAAUUAAAAAGUGGAAUUUAAAAAAAAAAAACAUAUGGUAGGUGGGCCUAUGCAAUAUCCACGCUUCAAGCCCAAGUGGGCUCUUGCGUGAGGGGGCGUGUUAGAAAUAAUAUAAAACCAUUGAUGUGGCCUUUCCUAACAGCUUAAGCUUUUGAGAUAAUCGGUUAUUUGAUAU
rnacentral:lncRNA from 1 species